GAUGAACGCUGGCGGCGUGCCUAAUACAUGCAAGUCGAGCGGACAGACGGGGAGCUUGCUCCUCUGACGAUUGCGGAAGGCGGGUGAGUAACACGUGGAAACCCUACCUAUAAGACUGGGAUAACUUCGGAACACCGGAGAUAAUAGCGGAUGAUAUAUUGAACCGCGUGGUUCGAUAGUGAAAGACGGUUUUGCUGUCACUGAUAGAUGGAUCCGCGCCGCGUUAGCUAGGUGGUAAGGUAACAAGUUAUCAAGGCAAAGAUGCGUAGACGACCUGAGAGGGUGGUCGGCCACACUGGAACGGAGACACGCUCCAGACUCCUACGGGAGGCAGCAGUAUCGAAUCUUCCGCAACGGGCGAAAACCUUACGCAGCAACGCCGCGCGUGUUACGACGGUCUUCGGAUCGGAAAACCCUGUUUUUAGGUAAGAACAAAUUUUUGCGUAGCUAUGCACGUCUUGACGGUACCUACACAGAAAGCCACGGCUAACUACGUG
rnacentral:rRNA from 1 species